GAUACCCUAUUAUACCAAAAAAUAAUUUGACCAAACCAAAGUAAUAAUAGCUAUAUUCUAAAAAUUUGAAGAAUUUGGCGGUGAUUUAGUCUAGUCAGAGGAACCUGUUUUUGAAUCGAUAAACCACGAAUAAUCUUACUUAAGUUUGUAAAGUAUGUAUACCAUCAUUAUUAGGUAAUUUUUAUAGAAGUAAUUACUGGAUAGUUUAUUAAUAAUGUUAAAUAUAUUAGAUCAAGGUGCAGCUUAUACUUAAGUUAAAAUGGGUUACAAUAAAUUUUAUUUAUACGAAACUAUAAUUUAAAUAUUAUUUGGAAGGAGGAUUUGAUUGUAAAGUUAGUUUAAUAUGCUUACUAGAUAUAAGCUCUAAAUCAUGUACAUAUCGCCCGU
rnacentral:rRNA from 1 species